rnacentral:lncRNA from 1 species
AGAGAAAGAAGUGCGGGCGGCCGGGCUCCCCGGCGGGCGGCGGACUGCCGGCCCGUGGCUGCCGUGGGCUGCCCCUCGUGGCCGCCCCGCCCCCUCGCGGUGCACUGAUCGUGGCGGGGCGGGACCGUGGGUCCCGGGCGCGCCCGUGGUGGCCGCGGAGGAGGGCGCGGGACCCCCGGCCUGUGCCCUCGCAGCCCAGGCCGGCUGGCGUGGCGCGGCGGCCGCGAUGUGGGCCAGGCAGCGGGUCCGAGUGCCCUGGGGAAUGUGUCCUCAGAGGCUCGCGCCGCCGUCCGCCUUUUGCAGAGGAGAAAACUAAAGCACAAAGGGAUUAAAUCACUUGCCCGAGGUCGCACACUUGGGAAGAGGAGUCCAGAUUCGAACCCGCGCACAGUGAAGCCAAGCUCUUGGACAAGGUUUCACAGGCUUCGCCCAGGGAUAUUCACGGCUGCCAUAGACGGAGCGCUUACUGUGUUCCAGACACUGCACUGUGCUAAGGCCGUGUUGGGAGCAGACCCUUCUUCCUGGCGUCAUUCAUUGGAUAACCAACAUUUCCUGAGUGUAUAUGGCCUGGGAGUCCGGAGGAGUGCUGCUAUGAAGAGAAGCUCUCCCAGUCCUCAAGAAAUGGAUCCCCGAAAAGGGGGAGGAGAAAACAAUGUCUUCACUAAUACGCCUCCAAACAUGGAACAAUCAGCUGUUUCAGGUAGAUUAAGCUAAAAGAGGAAGAGUGGAUGGCUGGCACAGUGGCUCACGCCGGUAAUCCUAGCCGAGGUUUAAGACCAGCCUGAGCAAUGUAGCAAGAACCCCCGUCAUGACAAAAAAAAUAAAAUACAAAAAUACAAAAAUUAGCCAGGCGUAGUGUGGCAUGUGCCUGUAGCCCUAGCUACUCGAAAGGCUGAGGUGGGAGGAUAACUUGAGCCCUGGAGGCAGAGGCUGCAGUGAGCCCAGUGAGCCGAGGUCGCAUCACCGUACUCCAGCCUGAGUGACAGAGAGAGGCCCUGUCUCAAAAAAAAAAAAAAAAAAAAAAAGGAAGAGUAGAAAGCAGGGAAGAGAUGAGAGUGUAUAAUAAGAGAAGUCUUAAGACACGUGAACUGAGUUUUGGAACUACCACAAAUACUGCUAAAGCAAAACUCAUGAGCAACAUGUUAUAAUGUGUAUUAUCAUGCAACAUAUUGUUACAAUGAAUGUCGUUACCUACAUUAUUUCACAUAAUCCGCAGAACAACCACCUAAAGUAGAUACUGUUAUUAUUCUUAGGCUGUAAUUAGGUAAAACUCAGAGGUGUGCAGUGACAUCUCCAAUCUCUCAGUUAGUACAUGGCUCAAACUCAGGUCCUUCUGACUCCAGAGCCCGAGCAUGAAUUCAGGAGGCUCCUUAGAAAGAUGCCUCUGGCUGGCUUUGCCAUCCCUCUAAUUGCAUUAUUUUGACCAACAUAGUUUAACUCUUUGAGCCUCAUUUCCUAAUCUCAAAAAUUGAUCCUGAUUGCUGACCCAAUGACCUCAGGCCAAUAUUGAGAAUUUCUAUUAAGAUACUGUUGAUGAGCGGAUGCAGUCGCUCACGCUUGUAAUCCGUGCACUUUGGAAGGCCAAGGCGGGCAGACCAACUGAGGUGAGGAGCUCGAGACCAGCCUGGCCAACAUGAUGAAACCCUGUCUCUACUAAAAAUACUAAAAAUACAAAAAUUAGCCGGGUGUGGUGGCGUGUGCCCGUAGUCCCAGCUGCUUGGGAGGCUGAGACAAGAGAAUCGUUUGAACCCAGGAAGCAGAGGUUGCAGUGAGCAGAGAUUGCACCACUA